rnacentral:misc_RNA from 1 species
CAGCAUCGACACACACGCGCAUACCCAGCCACGCUUGUGUACCUCUGUUGUACCCUCACCACCGACAGCGACAGGGUUUUGACAGCACUUGUUACUCUCGCUAUCGCGCCCGCGCCUUACGCUCUUGUCCGCUUAGUUGUGCCCUGCCACCAUGCCCUUCAAGGAAGUCAGUCCCAACUCUUUCCUGCUAGACGACUCCCACGCGCUCUCGCAGCUGCUGAAGAAGAGCUACCGCUGGUACUCCCCAGUGUUCUCCCCGCGCAAUGUCCCCCGCUUCGCCGAUGUCAGCAGCAUCACUGAGUCUCCAGAGACAUUGAAAGCUAUUCGUGACUUCCUUGUGCAACGGUACCGGGCCAUGUCGCCGGCCCCGACGCAUAUCCUCGGCUUCGAUGCUCGCGGCUUCCUCUUCGGCCCCAUGAUCGCCGUGGAGCUUGAGAUCCCGUUCGUGCUAAUGCGCAAGGCGGACAAGAAUGCUGGUCUCCUUAUCCGCAGCGAACCGUACGAAAAGGAGUACAAAGAGGCCGCGCCGGAGGUGAUGACGAUCCGCUACGGCAGCAUCGGCAAGGGAUCGCGAGUGGUGCUAAUCGAUGACGUCCUGGCAACGGGUGGGACCGCGCUGUCGGGCUUGCAACUGGUGGAGGCGAGCGACGCAGUGGUUGUUGAGAUGGUCUCGAUUUUGAGCAUUCCUUUCCUGAAGGCGGCAGAGAAGAUCCACUCGACAGCUAACAGCCGCUACAAAGAUAUUAAGUUUAUCAGCCUUCUUUCUGACGACGCGCUGACGGAGGAGAACUGUGGGGACUCAAAGAACUACACGGGUCCUCGUGUUUUGAGCUGCGGUGAUGUGCUGGCCGAGCACCCGCACUAACGCGUGAGCAACUCCUUCAGUCCUUCUCUGCUUCUUCUUUCCGCCAGCACCUCUGCAGUUGACGAUGCCGCCGGAUACGACAUCACCAUCUCCGGUAACGUAAAAUUUAAAAGACGCAGCCAAAGCACUAAGGCGGCGGUACUAACGGCCGUUCCCCGCCGUACAAUAGCCGCGCGAAAACACGACCUAUCGGCUCGGAUGUCUCUGAGUUGUGUGUGUGUGUGUGUCUCUGUCUGCUUAUCGCUGCGUAGUAGUGCGCUUGCUGCGUUGGUGACCUCCCCUCUCCCCCCGGCCGCGGCGUUUAGCCGUUUCUGGGUGCAGGCGAAGGCUGAGCUGUGGGGAGGAUAAAGACGGCACGCCACAGACGCGCACACACCCGCAGCAGAGAAGUAAAUGAUGUACAAACUCGCGAGGGCGGAAACAAAGCGGUAGCCGAUGGAUGGUGUGUGCGUGUGUGCGUCUCUAAGGGCAUCGUACCGUAUAACUGACUUUAUUCCUAUAGGCGCCUCCUUCCCCCUCCUCCUCCCCCCCUCGGAGGAGUCUUUCAUGAGAGCGCGCUAAAGGGCGCCCGUUACACGGGAGAGCGAAGCGCCCACUACACGACGUAGGCGCUACUCUUAAGCCAUCGGCUUCCAGUGCUCUCUUUUUUUUCUCGCUUGGUUACGUGAACAGAGGCGUUCAUGCUUGCGUGUAUGUGUGUCGUUGAUUUCGCUCUCCUUGGACGGCGUGAGUGCGCCGCCUAUGAACGUGCUGGUGGGCCACAACACGCUUCUACCCCGUAGUGAGUUGACAGCUGCGGCACAGACAGACGCCCGUUAUAAAGUGCGGCUAAAGGAAAAAAAAAAAAGAACGGUGCAAAGGCGGCAAAACUGUCACACGGAGGUCGUGCGAUCUCUUCGUUGGCGGGGGGAGGG